UCCAAUCUAUCAUUUUUCAUUACUAUAAUUAAGUUAAAUACAAUACUAUUAUCCUUCAAUCGAUAAUAUAUAUUUUAUUUUAUUGAAACAAUAAUAAAUUAUAUCCGAAGCGUAGGAUAUUAAUACAGUCACUGUAUUAUUGUGCACUGUAAUGCAUUGCACAAUAAUACAAUAUGUCUAAAAUAAAUGGUAUGAUCAAUUACAGGUCUCAGGCUUAACGUGACAGGUCUACAAUGAUUGUAACAAUGGUGACUCGGUUUUAUCUGUUUGGCUGCCGGGCCUUUAACCAAAAAAAUACGCUGUCUUUGCCAAAAAAUACCAUUUUAUUGGUCUAAUGAAGCUAUAAGAAUUAUGAAAACAGAUUUGAAUUUGUCGUCAACUCUACUUUUUCCCAUAUUUAUAUAUAAAUGCAGCAACAGCUUCUUCAUCGAGUAAAAAAACACGGUUACCAUAUUCUCACAAAGAAGACAUAAGUAUAGCAAAAUACAUUAAGAGAAUAAUCAUAUAUGAUAUAUUUGACGUAUCCGGUACAUUGAUGUGGAAAAAGAUGUGAAUGGAUAAUAUUUGUAGAGUUUGUACAUGGCAAUCAAUGAAAGAGAGAUAUAUAAAGCAUAUAAAAUAUGGUAUUGCUGGAAACCAUAAAGAAAGAUAUCCAUUUAUAAAGUCAAAAGUUAUGAAACUAUUGCUACAUGGUUUAAAGCCAAAGAAAAAAAAUCAAAUUGUACAAAAGCAAGUUCAUAGUGGAUCACUGGCUGCUCUUCAAAAAAAAUACAUUUGUGUUAACAUUAUAAUUUUAUAGCAACUUAAAUAUUUUAAUACUUGCUUAGUUUCAUUAACAAACCUACUAGACCAUUCUAACCUUACUUUUAUAGAUUUAAAUUGUUAUUUAAAAUUUAACACUGAUUUAAUUGUUUAGUUAAUUUUAUGAAAAACAAGUUUAAUUUUUUACAAU